UCACCAGCCUGUACUUGUACAUGGGAUUGUUCUGUCCUGUGCUAAGUGCAGGACUUUGCACUUGUCCUUAUUGAACUUCAUGAGAUGUCUUUUGGUCCAAUCCUCCAAUUUGUCUAGGUCUCUCUGAAUCCUAACCCUGCCCUCCAGCAUAUCUACUACUUCCCCCUCAGCUUGGUGUCACCUGAAAACAUGCUGACGGUGCACUGUAUGACAUUUUUCACUUCAUUGAUGAAGAUACUGAAAAAAAACCAGCCCCAGAACCGACCCCCAGGGCACUCCACUUACUACUGGCUGCCAAAUGAACAUCAAUCCGUUGACUACUACUCUCUGAACCCAAUGAUCCAGGCAGUUUUCUAUCCACCUUACAGUCCAUUCAUUCAGCCUGUACUUCCUUAGUUUGCCUGCAAGAAUAUUGUGGGAGACUGAAUCAAAAUACACCCACUGGUCUCCCUGCAUCCACAGAACCAGUCACCUCAUCAUAGGAGGCAAUCAGAUUGGUCAGGAAUGAUUUGCCCUUGGUGAAUCCAUGCUGACUAUUCCUACUUACUGUCUUUUCCUCCAGGUGCUUAGAAAUGGAUUCCUUGAGGAGGAUCUGCUUCAUGACUUUUCCAGAGACUGAGAACAAUUCUGUAAGGUCAGAAAUGAGAUGCACGAAGACCACCAGUUCCAGAGAGCUAUUAGUAUACCAGUAAUUGUAGAGAAAUUGGAGAGAAAAUACAAAAUAAAUUUCUCCUUCUCCAGAAAGAGUUCAUGUUUCAGACAGAAAGCAGAAGAGACAGUCAAGACCAAAUUUUAUUUGAAAAUCUGUCAUGCUCAGCAGAUGCACAUGUGGGUGCUGCGUGCCUUACUCCCAUGAUGGUGCACGGAAGGGCCUGGCAAGGCCAGCACUUAGCUUCUGGGCAGGCCUGCUGCUGCCACUAUUGGAUCCUACAGCUCCUCCUGGUCUCCUUGCUGCAGCGCUAACUCUGGGCAGCAGGAUUAAUUGUACCCCUGCUGAAGACAAUGACAAACGUCUAACUGACUCUGUGAGCAGAACUGGGACUUUUGUGUUUAAAUGACUUAGUGUCAAGUUGAUUUAGAGCAGGGGUUAUCAAGCAGGGGUACACAUACCCCUAGAGGUACUUGGAAAGGUCAUAGGGGGUAUGUACGGGUGAGUAGGGAUACAGCAUGCUCCAGGGCAUGGCAGUGGUGUCUCCCCCAAUGCGUUCCCACACAUUGCCUCUUACCUGGCGGAGGGGAAGGGCACGCUAGGUGCUGCUGGCCCCAGGCGGCAUACCACAGUGCCUCCCCACCCCCCACCCCAGCUUGCUGUUUUGAUUGGCCGCCGACUCACUGCUCUUGGCCAAUAGCUGACAGCGAGGAGGUGCUUCAGCCACCCCCUGCCUGCAGAGCCACGAGGGCAGCAAGGUGCAAAGGGUCCGAAGGCUGGGGGGAAGUGUGUUUCUGUGCCUGCUCCCAGGAACAGGGUGGGAGGGGGUGCCAGGGCAGCAGCACUCCUCUGCGGAUGGACAUGGGGCAGCGCGGUUUGCACACAGAGGCCACUGCAGCCCACCACCCCAAGCCGCCGCCUCCCAGAAGCAGGGCUGGGGUGGGGGGCAAGGGCAGUGGCGCCCCUCUGCAGGCUGCGCAGGUGCCGCCUGGCUGGCCAGAUGCAGGGGGGGCUCGCAUGCAGUGCUCACUGCCUCAUCCACCACCCUGCCCACAGCUGGUCAAACGUGCAGCUCCAUGGUCUGCUGAUGGGUGGUGUGUGAUUGGCUGGGUGUGAGGCCUGUCAGCAGCCCAUGGAGCCACAUGUGUGACCGGCCAUUGGAAAGCGGAGCACAGUGGUGGUGUGGGGCAGUGCGUGGCAGCAGCAGUCACUGUGUGUGAGCUUCCACCCCUCUCCUGCACCCAGCUACAACCAGCAGAAGGGAUACACUUCUUUAAAAAGGUUGAAAACCCCUUAUUUAGAGCAAUAUUUUGAAAAGGGCUCACAUCCAUGCAUUGAGGCCAAAUUAUCCAAAAAAUUCAGCAUGUGAGGUGAUGAGGUCCUUUGAAUAUCUGGUCAUUAAUGUUGCAGUAAGAACUACUAAGCACAGAGCACUGCUGCACAUUUGUCCUAAUUUAAGUGUUUAAAUGCAAGUUGCCCUCUUCUGAAAAAAAAUGGUGACAGGUGUCACAAUAAGAUUUUUUUAUUUUUAAAUCUAGCCCUAAAUGUGUGCUUGAAAUGAGAACUGAGUGCUUGAAAAUUGGGCCUUGAGAUCUUCUGAAAACACUUAAAGGUAAAUUCAUAAGGAUAAGGACAUUGGCUACAGUAGUUUAGCUUGUAAAAUACCACAUAUAUUUAUAAUAACAUAAAUAUACAAUAAACAAU